UCUGUCUCUUGACCCCUUCUCUAGCCAUAUUUUAUCCUACAGUGCUCCACGUUCCAGCCACACCAAAUGCCAGGUAUUUUCCUGAAGAUCUGCUUUCUUGUGCUUCUAAAAUUUUCUUUCUUCCAUAAUAUACUUUCUUAAUUUUGCCCACCACUGUGAACUGAAUCUGGCUAUAUCAAAGAAAGACAGGAUCCACCGGGAAAAUGCCAGGCUUAUAGCAUCCACUGGAGGUGAAAGACCAAGCCUAGAAAACAAAUAGGAUCUGAGGAAGUUUCCGAGAGCCAGAAACAGAAAGCACAGAGUGUGUUUCUGGCAUUGUUAUGAAUAUCUUAAGUGCCUGCUUUGCUGCACUUGGUGCAGUUGCCUUAAUCAUUGCGUGUGCAAGUUUUCAGUCAGAAGAAGAUUACACUUGGACACAGUUGGCUGGUACUAUGCUUUUACACUAUUUACUCUUCAUUGCUGUCUCAGAACUGAUCAUUGCAAGUAUAACUAUCCACUGGAUUGUGCAAGCAUUGCAGUAUCAAGAAUACGGCGACGAGAGUUCCUCACUAUCAGAAUUCUCCAUCUCUUCAUAAUUUGCAAAGAACCGGUGUGACUCUAGUCAAGAGCAAAAGAUGAAUCGUGAAUUAGUGAAGAACUCCGUAAUUUUUUUCAAGAGGCCUGAUGGAGAAUGCAUUUUAAUGAAGUCCUUUCUAGUACUCCUUUUUCCUACUUCUUCAAUAAAGGAUGCAAUUUGAUCACAA
rnacentral:lncRNA from 1 species